rnacentral:lncRNA from 1 species
UCUUUUAUUCUUUAUCUAACUCCACCAGAAAAGUCGAAUUAGCCCGAUCAAGUGCCUCUUCAAUCCCUCGAAUUCGAGCUAGAAUGUAGUUCAUUUUUCGACUCCAUAACAUUAUUCCGGAAUAAGUCGAUAUUAGCAAUUAUUUCACCAUCAGUCCUCCACACAUUAUUAAGGAACUCUUUGAAAUUCUCAUGAGCUUGCCAGGCAGCAAUAAUAUCGGCCGAUUAUCAGAGCCAAUACGUUCC